UGGGCGAAUGCAAAAAUGCAAAAUUCAACUAAAACAGACAAUAAAACCCUAAAUCCCUAUUCCUAAUUCCUAAUUCCUAAAUGUAGCGACCAGCAUUCCAGAUUCCAGAAUCCAGCAGAACACUCCCUCCCUCCCCUGCGAAUCUGCGAAUUUGGUUAUAUGAAUUAUGGCAGAAAAAGACAGAAUUAGUGAACUCCCGGCUGAUAUACUUGCCAAUAUUUUGGGAUUUUUGCCGAUUCAAGAAGCUGCUAGAACAUCAAUUUUAUCUUCCUUUUGGAAAGAUAUCUGAUUUAGUCUGACAAAGCUUAACUUUGACCCUCAUUUCUUUGAUUACAUAUGUCUUAAAUAUUCCGAUGAUGAUGAAGCUGGGAAGUCGGAAUCUCCUAUUUUUGAAGUAAUCAACAAAAUUCUCAUUCAGCACAAUAGACCUAUUCAGAAAAUUAUCUUCUGCUUUUGCGGAGAUGUAUCUGUAUCCCAUUUCCUUGAAGACUUUGAUUAUGAGUAUAUAGCUAAUUUGAUGUCGGACAACUUGAAUUAGUGGUUUCUUCUUCUCACCCAGAAUGGUGUUGAAGAAAUUGACAUUUCUUGUAGUAUAGAU